CAACUUCUGGGCAAGGCAGAGGUGGGUUUGGCUUUUUAAAAAUUUUUUCAGCCUGUCCUCAUGGAACUACAUAUUCUUUUCUAAGAACUUUUCAUCCUAACCUCCCUACUCACAUCUUCUAAGUGUCUCUGCUCUGGUGGGAAUGUGAUGGACAACACAGAGCCAUCUCAGAAGCCUCUGUGGCCACCACCAGGCCGGCCAGGGUGCAGGGGGCCACUCCCUGGGCAGCCAUAGGGUUCUCAGCAAGGUGCAUUCGUCGUCCCUGCUGAGAAUCUGAUGGGGCAGCAUUUUUUUUUUUAAUUAAAUGCAAGCUGAGUCAUUUCAACCUGCAACCUUCAGGUAACAGGAGUUACCCAAGCUCCAGGAAUUAUGAUUGUGGGGUAAACCCAUUCUCUUGUUUUCUUGCGGUUCUAUUUUAUAACGCACUAGAGGAGACAGAGACGUCAUUGCUUCACCCAGGGCAAGAGGACAAAGGAGGAUGCAUGGAAAUACAAACAGCCCUUCUCCUCCAGGCCAUACCGACUGUCCAACUAGCAACAGACUUCACCUGGUUUUGGAGCAAUCUGAAUUUGGAAUAUGCCAGAGAAAACUUCUAUCAGGCAAGAUGGAAGACUCCUAGGAUAGGUCUCUCUCAUGGAGGGAUUGGCACGAUGGUAAGAGUCCAGUGGAUGGAAAAGGCCUCCUCCUUAAAGAUGGUGAUGGAAACGAGCACUGCACAGGGAAACACAAAUCAGGUCCCCUGAAAUCCAGCCCAACCUGGCCAGACCCUCCAGUGCCCAUCAGGGCUUAUGAACAGGGUGCUUCAGUGUCUUUGUUAGGGGUGGUUAAAAAGGAGCACGUGCUUAUAGGGGAUGCUGCUGAGCUCCAUGAUUUUGACUUCCUGUCUAACCUGUUGAUGCUACAAAACUCUUUUAAAAACAGUUACCAUGGGAACUUUUCCCUAGCAAGCAUUCUUCAAGAAACGUUACAGGUGCUGGUGAAUUCAAUGCCCUUGGUGUCAAUAAGCUUUUGCUGAGUCUUAGAAUGUGUGGCUUGAACUGAGAGGACUUUCAAACAGAUAAUGCGAAGUUUCCAAUGCAAAUGUCUUCGGGGUUAAGUGUCAGUGAAGUGCAGUGGAAGGUAGGGGGAUAAAAUGAUCUCAGUGUAUAUGGAGGCCCCACUUAAGCAUUCAAAAAAUUCUAUAUACAGUGUUUUCAAUGUAUUAUGUAUCAGCAAAACAAAAUACCCCAUAGGGCUAUAAUCAGCUCAGGGGGUCACCUCAGCAAGAGAUGCUCUGGCUAUCACUCCUACUACGGGAUUUCCUCUCUCAUCAGAACCAGUAGGUGGUCAAAACCACAAUAAUGCAUAAAUGAAGGCAGGGAAUUGGGUAUCCAAUGUGAGCAACUGAAAAGGUGCCAUGUAUUAGCUAUUUGCCAUUAUGGUUCUGCAAGUGCUCAGAUGACUCAUAAAAUGACCAGAACAAAAAAAAAAAAAAAAAAAAAAAAAAAAAAAAAAAAAAAAAAAAAAAAAAAAAAAAAAAAAAAAAAAAA
rnacentral:lncRNA from 1 species